rnacentral:rRNA from 1 species
GAACGCUGGCGGCAUGCCUAACACAUGCAAGUCGAACGGUAACAGGCGGAAGCUUGCUUCUGCGCUGACGAGUGGCGGACGGGUGAGUAACACGUAGGAAUCUGCCCACGGGUGGGGGACAACCUGGGGAAACCCAGGCUAAUACCGCAUACGCCCUACGGGGGAAAGCGGGGGACCUUUCGGGGCCUCGUGCCGGUGGAGGAGCCUACGUCUGAUUAGCUUGUUGGUGGGGUAAAAGCCUACCAAGGCGACGAUCAGUAGCUGGUCUUAGCGGAUGAUCAGCCACACUGGGACUGAGACACGGCCCAGACUCCUACGGGAGGCAGCAGUGGGGAAUAUUGGACAAUGGGGGCAACCCUGAUCCAGCAAUGCCGCGUGUGUGAAGAAGGCCUGCGGGUUGUAAAGCACUUUCAGAAGGGAAGAAGACGCUUGGGAUAAUACCCUGAGUCGAUGACAUUACCUUCAGAAGAAGCACCGGCUAACUCCGUGCCAGCAGCCGCGGUAAUACGGAGGGUGCGAGCGUUAAUCGGAAUUACUGGGCGUAAAGCGUGCGUAGGCGGUGACGUCAGUCAGCUGUGAAAGCCCCGGGCUUAACCUGGGAAUUGCAGUUGAUACUGCGUCGCUAGAGUGUGAUAGAGGG